rnacentral:rRNA from 1 species
CCCUUAGAUGUCUUGGGCCGCACGCGCGCUACACUGAUGCAUGCAACGAGUUUAUAACCUUGGCCUGAAAGGUCUGGGUAAUCUUUUGAACGUGCAUCGUGAUAGGGAUAGAUUAUUGCAAUUGUUAAUCUUGAACGAGGAAUUCCUAGUAAACGCGAGUCAUCAGCUCGCAUUGAUUACGUCCCUGCCCUUUGUACACACCGCCCGUCGCACCUACCGAUUGAAUGGUUCGGUGAAGAUCUCGGACUUCGAUAUUUAUUCUUUAUUGAGUUUAUAUUGUGGGAAGUUAUCUAAACCUCAUCAUUUAGAGGAAGGUGAAGUCGUAACA